GACGAACGCUGGCGGCGUGCUUAACACAUGCAAGUCGAACGAAGAGCGAUGGAAGCUUGCUUCUAUCAAUCUUAGUGGCGAACGGGUGAGUAACGCGUAAUCAACCUGCCCUUCAGAGGGGGACAACAGUUGGAAACGACUGCUAAUACCGCAUACGAUUUAAUCUCGGCAUCGAGGAUAGAUGAAAGGUGGCCUCUACAUGUAAGCUAUCACUGAAGGAGGGGAUUGCGUCUGAUUAGCUAGUUGGAGGGGUAACGGCCCACCAAGGCGAUGAUCAGUAGCCGGUCUGAGAGGAUGAACGGCCACAUUGGGACGGAGACACGGCCCAGACUCCUACGGGAGGCAGCAGUGGGGAAACUUCCGCAAUGGACGAAAGUCUGACGGAGCAACGCCGCGUGAGUGAUGACGGCCGUCGGGUUGUAAAGCUCUGUUAAUCGGGACGAAAGGCCUUCUUGCGAAUAGGGAGAAGGAUUGACGGUACCGGAAUAGAAAGCCACGGCUAACUACGUG
rnacentral:rRNA from 1 species